GGACUGAGGUGAAAGGAGGACAGAGAGCCUCCCCUUAAAUCCAUGCACGCACAGCACCUCACACAAAGUCACCACCAAGUCACCACGCGUGCCACGUCCCAUGGGCCGCAGUAACACACAUCAGUAAUAACUGCUCCGAAGGGACACAGGAGGCUGCCAGGAGCCCUUGAAAGAUGGGAGGGAGGGAAGGCAGAAGGGAGGAUGGCACGCAAGGCGGGGAAGAGAAAGGAACCCAUGUGCGGUGGGAAGAACAGAAAGCACCAUCCCUCAGCGGGCAACGCUUUAUCCAGGGCAGCGGCAGCGGCCCGGCACUGACAAUACAGCGACUGGAGACACGCCUGCACCGCCGUGGCCCUCGCAGAAAAGUAGUUACUCCUUUUCCCGAAAACUUUGCCUGACUGGAGCCCAAGAACACAAUGUCUUGCAGAAGCAUCAGUCAAAGCUGGUUACAACUCGACUGCCCUGCCUUGGCAAACACCUGUCAUGCUGUCCUUGCAACAAAUCAACACAUUUUAGUCUUAUGCUUAAGGAAGGAGAGAAGAAGAUGCAAUAUCAAAGCCAAGCUCUAUUACUUGAAGAAUUAUUUCAACCCCCCUCUUGAUCACUCUUCCACAUGCCAUCAAAUUCAGCAGAAAACGUCUCAUGGAGUCUUGACCUUUUGUGCCUUGGAGAACACCACCCUGCAUUAUCGCUCCAUGCUCUUCUCACUGGCUUAACCCUGCGGUGAAUCACGCAGCUCCUCGUCCCAGCACACACAGCACUGCAGGCACCUGCCAAGCUCUGUCAAACACAAGCACAGGUCCCAGCCCAAGGUGCUUGUUUUCACUUAAAUUAUGCAUUUCAUAACUAGCUUGGAAGGCACUUUGAAGAUACAGCACUAAGUAUUAUUAAUGCUAAAUGGUAUUUUUGGACAGGCAUAAUGCAAGCAAUUAAAUAGUAAUACCAUAAAAACAGGUGUGGGACACAAAGGUAGAAUUAAGUCAUUAAGUCAUAUAUGCCUACUUUAUAUCCACAUCUUACGGAUGUUGAUUACUCAGUACAGCCUGACACUCCGAAAAUAAGCUUUCAUCGCUCUUUUUAUACACAGCCUUACAGCGAGGAACUGCUAAAGCCUGUGUUCAGAUUAGUGUUUUGACAGGUAUAUCGGUGCUGCCAGCGAGGCUGGCAAGGAACUGCCAUGGAUCAGCCUUCGUGGAAGGUGAACAUCUGGAAGCUGCGUGAGCAGGGCUCUCACCUACUGCCCACGAGUGUCCAAAAUGAGCUGCCUGGAUGGAUGCACGGGACACUGGGGAAAAGACCCGCAGAGCAGCACUGCAGGCUACAGCCGUCGAUGGUGAAGGUAACUGCGGUGGGGAUGAGAAGCCCUCACAAUUCCCGCGUGCCUCCUGAACGAAUGUAUGGUCAGUUCAACAAUGUAUCUUGCCCCCACCUUCCAACACCACUCUGAACAGCAAACUCACAGGACUGGAUGUCUCUUGUACAAGGCAUCCAGGUAUGUCCACAAGUCCCUGUGGAUGAACGGCAUGACCUUCAUGGUAGGACAUCCCUUCUAUAGUGCAGGAUUCGCACGACUAGAUUCCAGCAUUGGUGGGAGAUCAAAUGCCCCAAGUCCACUCGAUAAAGUGUUAACUCUGAAGGGUAGUGAUGGCUGUGUAAACUAAGUUUGUUUGGAUACUCCAAGUCAUGUUUGCUCUGUAGUCUGCCAGAACAAACCUUUGGCCUGGUGACCCUCCUCUUUCCCCUGCGUGCAACCCCCUGUGCCAUAGUGGCACGGUGUGUGCGCUGGAACUGGGAGCCAGAUGGAAAUUAGCCCAGAAGAAGAAUACUUUGUUUUCGGCUGGAUUGUUCCCAGGCUUUGAUUGUGGUGUGGACACACAGAGAGGUAUGUCAGCACAACUGAGGGGGCAGCAGGAUCCAGCACAGAGACAGGAAUGCACAGGACGAGCUGGAGCUGGGGAUAGAACGAUACACCAAGAGAACAAGGGACCAGCACCGUGCCAGAAACCUCAGCUGCUGUGCCCCGUUGCUGUCUGCUCACCCCGUCCCUCACAGGAGAGAGGACUGGGAAAGGGGAGGGAGGGGUGAGAGUGGAAACUCACCUUCGGACUGUCCUACCUUCCAUCCCGCUGGCGCAGCAACACCGAGGAAAUAAGGCUGCGGUUUUGCAAGCAUCUUUUUUUGGUGGCAGCGCUUUGAUGGAGCGGUUGGGUUACGUUGUGCUGGUGCAGCUCUUUGUGCAGUUGUGUUGUCAAACAGACCAGGAGACUGCUUUAAAAAAGCAGUACCCUCCCCACCUCAGUUAUUUUUACCCUGGCUCAGGUCCAAGGCGCGAUUCACCUCGUCUCCACCGAGGUGCAACUGCAAGAAGAGUGCUGGACUGGGAAAGUGUAGCCAGAAGCAGGCGAACAGGGGUCUGCGUAAAUCCACGGUGCCUCUCAAAAAGUGCCCAUGGCCCAGUCCCUCAGGGAGCGUUUCUCUUCAGCAAUCACGGGCAACUUGUUUGUCAGAAUUAGGGAGAUCAAAAAAAGAGGAAAGAAAGGUUGAAUCCGUGUAGGCACGUGCAGCAUUUGCAUACUAUUUUCCUCUGCAAAACAUAAAAGGAAAUCUGACUGUAAUCAUGUUAGAAAUGCUCCCUUUUCCCCUCCCAUUUAAUCUAAGCAUUACGUAUGACACAGUCCCCAGCAUGUAAGACGGCAGUCCAGCAGAACACUUAGGCAUGGACGCUGCCUUUAACACCUGACUCUUCCUGCUGAAGUCAGUGGAAACACUUCGAUGCUUGAAGUUGCACAUGCUUAACUGCUUUGUUAGGUCACAAGCUAAUUUAAGGACAGAGAAGCACAGCUCCGAAAGAGAAAAAUAGGUUAAUAACACUGAAGUUGCAGCAAAUCUGUGGGAAGCCUCCUGGAAUAGGUUCGUAAUUAGUAAAUCGACCCUUCCCAAAGUAAAUAUUUUCACCUUUUCUUCAGCUCCCUUUUUCCCCUGAUUUUGCCAGUGGACUGUGGUUCCUGGGUAAAGACAGGACAGACUGAAGACUUCUACACUUAAAAAUCAGUGCCUGAAUCGUACAGCAGCACCUGGGAGCCUGCACCGUGCUGUACCAUCUUCCUAUGCAGCAUUGCAUGAGGGAGGUGUUUCAAGGGGGUAGCUGU